AUUGAACGCUGGCGGCAGGCUUAACACAUGCAAGUCGAGCGGAGAUGAGGUGCUUGCACCUUAUCUUAGCGGCGGACGGGUGAGUAAUGCUUAGGAAUCUGCCUAUUAGUGGGGGACAACAUUCCGAAAGGAAUGCUAAUACCGCAUACGUCCUACGGGAGAAAGCAGGGGAUCUUCGGACCUUGCGCUAAUAGAUGAGCCUAAGUCGGAUUAGCUAGUUGGUGGGGUAAAGGCCUACCAAGGCGACGAUCUGUAGCGGGUCUGAGAGGAUGAUCCGCCACACUGGGACUGAGACACGGCCCAGACUCCUACGGGAGGCAGCAGUGGGGAAUAUUGGACAAUGGGGGGAACCCUGAUCCAGCCAUGCCGCGUGUGUGAAGAAGGCCUUAUGGUUGUAAAGCACUUUAAGCGAGGAGGAGGCUACUGAGACUAAUACUCUUGGAUAGUGGACGUUACUCGCAGAAUAAGCACCGGCUAACUCUGUGCCAGCAGCCGCGGUAAUACAGAGGGUGCGAGCGUUAAU
rnacentral:rRNA from 1 species